rnacentral:rRNA from 1 species
AUGAACGCUGGCGGCGUGCCUAAUACAUGCAAGUCGAGCGAACAGACGAGGAGCUUGCUCCUCUGAUGUUAGCGGCGGACGGGUGAGUAACACGUGGAUAACCUACCCAUAAGACUGGGAUAACUUCGGGAAACCGGAGCUAAUACCGGAUAACAUGUUGAACCGCAUGGUUCAACAGUGAAAGACGGUCUUGCUGUCACUUAUAGAUGGAUCCGCGCCGCAUUAGCUAGUUGGUAAGGUAACGGCUUACCAAGGCAACGAUGCGUAGCCGACCUGAGAGGGUGAUCGGCCACACUGGAACUGAGACACGGUCCAGACUCCUACGGGAGGCAGCAGUAGGGAAUCUUCCGCAAUGGGCGAAAGCCUGACGGAGCAACGCCGCGUGAGUGAAGAAGGUCUUCGGAUCGUAAAACUCUGUUAUUAGGGAAGAACAAAUGUGUAAGUAACUAUGCACGUCUUGACGGUACCUAAUCAGAAAGCCACGGCUAACUACGUG